rnacentral:rRNA from 1 species
UAAAUAUUAAUAAUGAAUUUUGAAAAAAAGUAGGUAAGUGCUUCAUAACUCAAAGAAUUUGGCGGCUAGUAUUAUUUAGAGGAACCUGUUUAUUAAUUGAUAAACCACGUUAGUUUUUACCUAAAUUUUAUUUGUAUACCUCUAUAUAUAAUAAUGUUUUAUUAGGAUAUUUUUUUUUAAUUUUAAUAUUAAAUUUAGGUCAAGGUGCAGUUUUUUUUAGGUUUAUAUGGGUUACUUUUUUUUAUAUAUUUAUGGUUUUAUAUACUUAAAGUAUAUUUUUUAUAGGAUUUAAUAGUAAUUUAAACUUAUUAGUUUAUUUGAAUAUAAAUUUUCUAGUGU